CUCCGAGUCCUUUAACUGACGCUAAUGCUCGAAAGUGCGGGUAUCGAACAGGAUUAGAUACCCUGGUAGUCCGCACGGUAAACGAUGGAUGCCCGCUGUUGGCGAUACACAGUCAGCGGCCAAGCGAAAGCGUUAAGCAUCCCACCUGGGGAGUACGCCGGCAACGGUGAAACUCAAAGGAAUUGACGGGGGCCCGCACAAGCGGAGGAACAUGUGGUUUAAUUCGAUGAUACGCGAGGAACCUUACCCGGGCUUGAACUGCCAGCGAACGAUACAGAGAUGUUGAGGCCCCUCGGGGCGCUGGUGGAGGUGCUGCAUGGUUGUCGUCAGCUCGUGCCGUGAGGUGUCGGCUUAAGUGCCAUAACGAGCGCAACCCCUUUCGCGAGUUACCAUCAGGUUAUGCUGGGGACUCUCGCGACACUGCCACCGUAAGGUGUGAGGAAGGUGGGGAUGACGUCAAAUCAGCACGGCCCUUACGUCCGGGGCUACACACGUGUUACAAUGGGUGAUACAGAGAGCAGGCCGCCUGCAAGGUCGGUCGAAUCAUGAAAGUCAUCCUCAGUUCGGAUUGGGGUCUGCAACCCGACCCCGUGAAGCUGG
rnacentral:rRNA from 1 species